AGACCCGAAACCCGGUGAUCUAGCCAUGGGCAGGUUGAAGGUUGGGUAACACUAACUGGAGGACCGAACCGACUAAUGUUGAAAAAUUAGCGGAUGACCUGUGGCUGGGGGUGAAAGGCCAAUCAAACCGGGAGAUAGCUGGUUCUCCCCGAAAGCUAUUUAGGUAGCGCCUCGUGAAUUCAUCUCCGGGGGUAGAGCACUGUUUCGGCUAGGGGGCCAUCCCGGCUUACCAACCCGAUGCAAACUGCGAAUACCGGAGAAUGUUAUCACGGGAGACACACGGCGGGUGCUAACGUCCGUCGUGAAGAGGGAAACAACCCAGACCGCCAGCUAAGGUCCCAAAGUCAUGGUUAAGUGGGAAACGAUGUGGGAAGGCCCAGACAGCCAGGAUGUUGGCUUAGAAGCAGCCAUCAUUUAAAGAAAGCGUAAUAGCUCACUGGUCGAGUCGGCCUGCGCGGAAGAUGUAACGGGGCUAAACCAUGCACCGAAGCUGCGGCAGCGACACUCAGGUGUUGUUGGGUAGGGGAGCGUUCUGUAAGCCUGCGAAGGUGGCCUGUGAGGGUUGCUGGAGGUAUCAGAAGUGCGAAUGCUGACAUAAGUAACGAUAAAGCGGGUGAAAAGCCCGCUCGCCGGAAGACCAAGGGUUCCUGUCCAACGUUAAUCGGGGCAGGGUGAGUCGACCCCUAAGGCGAGGCCGAAAGGCGUAGUCGAUGGGAAACGGGUUAAUAUUCCCGUACUUGGUGUUACUGCGAAGGGGGGACGGAGAAGGCUAUGUUGGCCGGGCGACGGUUGUCCCGGUUUAAGCGUGUAGGUGUGUGUUCCAGGUAAAUCCGGUUCACUUUAACACUGAGGCGUGACGACGAGGCACUACGGUGCUGAAGCAACAAAUGCCCUGCUUCCAGGAAAAGCCUCUAAGCAUCAGGUAACAUCAAAUCGUACCCCAAACCGACACAGGUGGUCAGGUAGAGAAUACCAAGGCGCUUGAGAGAACUCGGGUGAAGGAACUAGGCAAAAUGGUGCCGUAACUUCGGGAGAAGGCACGCUGACAUGUAGGUGAAGUGAUUUACUCAUGGAGCUGAAGUCAGUCGAAGAUACCAGCUGGCUGCAACUGUUUAUUAAAAACACAGCACUGUGCAAACACGAAAGUGGACGUAUACGGUGUGACGCCUGCCCGGUGCCGGAAGGUUAAUUGAUGGGGUCAGCGCAAGCGAAGCUCCUGAUCGAAGCCCCGGUAAACGGCGGCCGUAACUAUAACGGUCCUAAGGUAGCGAAAUUCCUUGUCGGGUAAGUUCCGACCUGCACGAAUGGCGUAAUGAUGGCCAGGCUGUCUCCACCCGAGACUCAGUGAAAUUGAACUCGCUGUGAAGAUGCAGUGUACCCGCGGCAAGACGGAAAGACCCCGUGAACCUUUACUAUAGCUUGACACUGAACAUUGAGCCUUGAUGUGUAGGAUAGGUGGGAGGCUUUGAAGUGUGGACGCCAGUCUGCAUGGAGCCGACCUUGAAAUACCACCCUUUAAUGUUUGAUGUUCUAACGUGGACCCGUGAUCCGGGUUGCGGACAGUGUCUGGUGGGUAGUUUGACUGGGGCGGUCUCCUCCUAAAGAGUAACGGAGGAGCACGAAGGUUGGCUAAUCCUGGUCGGACAUCAGGAGGUUAGUGCAAUGGCAUAAGCCAGCUUGACUGCGAGCGUGACGGCGCGAGCAGGUGCGAAAGCAGGUCAUAGUGAUCCGGUGGUUCUGAAUGGAAGGGCCAUCGCUCAACGGAUAAAAGGUACUCCGGGGAUAACAGGCUGAUACCGCCCAAGAGUUCAUAUCGACGGCGGUGUUUGGCACCUCGAUGUCGGCUCAUCACAUCCUGGGGCUGAAGUAGGUCCCAAGGGUAUGGCUGUUCGCCAUUUAAAGUGGUACGCGAGCUGGGUUUAGAACGUCGUGAGACAGUUCGGUCCCUAUCUGCCGUGGGCGCUGGAGAACUGAGGGGGGCUGCUCCUAGUACGAGAGGACCGGAGUGGACGCAUCACUGGUGUUCGGGUUGUCAUGCCAAUGGCACUGCCCGGUAGCUAAAUGCGGAAGAGAUAAGUGCUGAAAGCAUCUAAGCACGAAACUUGCCCCGA
rnacentral:rRNA from 3 species